CUCUUGUUAUGUUGGUGUAUAUCUGGUUAAAUAUUACUGCUUAAUAGCGUAAAUUUGUGUAUACUUGUUUUAUUUAAGCCAAGUCUAUGUGCUGCCUAUAAGAGGUUUCAUGCGUUACAUUUAUAUAGUUAAAGUUGUUAAACUUUAAUAUUUAGGACUCAAAAGUAAUGUAUAAUUUAGUUUGUUUACGUGAAAUUGGUUUAGCUUGGGUACACACCGCCCGUCA
rnacentral:rRNA from 1 species